CUUAAAGUAAUCAGUAAAUACAUCAGUUCCAACUUUUAAUGAUUCUUGAACGUCGUCCCAGGUACUACGCUUUUCCUCUUCUCGAGUUCCCCUAUUUUUUUUGUCUUCUUUGAGCCAUUCCAAACAUGUCUCUAGAAGGGCGCUAUUUCCCGUAGAGGACCUUGUCAUCAGAGCACCAAACUUGGAUAUUGGUCCAUAAUCCACGAUACGCCCAAGACUGAGAUGGACCAAGUGAGUUGGCCACUCAGCUAAACCAUCAAAUAUAUGUGUUGCAUAAACAAUAGUAGCAUUCCUUACUUCCGUUUCCUCUUGCAAAAAAUUUAACAAAUCUGCCCGGGCAAGAACAUCCAAAUCUACAGUUACUUCAUCAAGUAAAAGUACUUCAAAUGGACGCAGAAGUCCCAUACAUAGUUGAACACGUCGUCUUUCACCAUCGGACACUGCAUGCAUUCGCCAACGAAGAUCUAUAUCAAGAAUUGAAAUCAAGAAAUCCCUACGUUCGGCAAAUUUAUCUCCUCCAACAGAAGCAAUUAAUCGUGCAACACUCAUAUCCCUAUGUAUAACAGGGUUGUUAACCCAUUCUACAAACGCACACAUCAGUAAAAUUUGAUGUUAAAAGAACUUACCAGUUCCUAAAUAAACAAAUGCAGAACUAGACUCACGAAAAGGAUCUUUACCACCCACCGAUAUAUGUCCUGCUUUCGCAAGCGAUUUUCCAGAUAAAAGUUUAAGUAAAGUUGAUUUUCCUGUUUAACAAAAUUCCAAGAGGACAUCAGUUAGCAUUUAAAUAUUCUUCAUCAAUUUCCAUAACACCGCGAAACUUACCAGCUCCAUUGGCUCCAACAAGUAAAGUCCUUGAUCCUUUAGGAAGAUCUAAAGUUACGUGAUCAAGACUUAAAGGCUGCUUUGGAGAAAACGUGUAAGAGAGGUUUGAAACAGUUACUUCCAUUUUGAAAU